GUUGAAACGCCGGUUUCCCUGCGAUCAUCGAAGUUAAGCAACGUCUCUUCUGGUCAGUACCUAGAUGGGUGAUCGUUUGGGAAUACCAGGUGCUGUAAG